UUUCUGGAAAGUGCUUGUCAGUUGGUAAUUCUGUGAUGGCGCAUUUUGAUGCGAUUUUCGACCAACUUAAGUUGGAAGCUGCUAAAAUGGGCCCUACCUGGCUCGAAGAUAAAUUACGUCCUUUGCUAAGCCCGGUUGUUGAACCCAGGGAGGAUAUCGUGGAUGUGGCUUCGAGACCAGCGAGGCGUUCGAGGCCCCCAGUUCGUUCGGAUCCGGAUCCUGAAGGGGGUAAUAGCGGUCUGAGAAAAUCCAGCCCCAGUCCGGGGUUAAAGGCGUCUGUGAGGAAGAAGUCAAGUUCUAGUUCCGGAAGUUGGCAGACCGGAGCGGAGGUUGCUGAUAAUGUGAUGCAGUCCGGGAGCACCUGUUCCCUUACGGAACAAUUCAUUGAGCCUGUAAUGAAGGGUGAUUCUUUGCCUAAGGGUAAGAUGGCCAAUUUAGGCCAAAAAGUAGUAAUUAGAGGAAAAAGGCAAGCUAGUAAAAGUGACGGCCCGCAGAGGCCUAGUUUUCCGUGUGGGGGUAAUGAACAAGUGAGUAUAUGUAGUUUAGGUAGUGCCUUAGUGAAAAAGAAAGGUGAGAGUUUGAAUGUAUCGGGGCCGAUUGAACUACCUCAGGCAGUUUCAGAACAGUUACAUAAUGUUUCAAAGACAGCACAGAUUUUAAGACCUUGCAGUAAUAUUGAGGAUCAGGCUUAUCGAGUGUUAGACGAGAGGGUGGAAGGGCCUGAAGUCAGUGAAAGUCAGCAUGAUACCGAGGUUGAUAACGGUGUGGUAGAAUUAGAUUUAUAUUUAGAUUCUUCUGAGGAGGAUUUUAUUCCACCUUCUCCCAGUGUAGUUAACCCUAUUCGCCAGUUUAAACCGUCAGUCAGGGUCCCGAGUGAUUCGGUUUUAAAGGGUGAGUUAAGAAAUUUGAGGGAUAGGAACGUUGAAGUAAUUAAAAAUUUACCUGUCACUAAUGAUGUUUUUCUUUUAGAAGGGAAUGAGACUGGGUCACGGCCUGAGAAUUCCCAGGGUCUUUUAAUGGUGUGAAAUGACGGCCUAAGUGGGGAUGCUUAUGGUCUGCAGGAAUCCUGGACGGAAAAUAUCAGGCUGGAUAUUGAGGACGGCGUUCCGGGGGUGGAACGUUUUAAUGCAAGGGGAGAAGAAACAAGGAUGGAAAAAGGGCAGCAAUUAAUGACUAAUACGGAUCCCAGGGCUACUGGUUUCCAGAAUACAGAGAAGGUUACGGCUGCAUCUCAAGGGGUUCAGUCUGCAGUGACUCAGGAUCCGAGUACAGUGGUCUCGCUUUCGAGAGUUGGCUCCUCAGGCGGAUGUAGUUGGAGCGAUUUUUCCUGUCCAACUUUGGAAGCUUGGGACGGAGGAUUGGCUGAAUUAAUUAAAAAAUCUUUGGCUCCAGGUGUAAGGAUCGUAUGGGUGAUGGGGCAUUCGUUUAUAUACUGGGCCAAUGCUGAGGCCAGUAAGAAAAUGGGCGGCCUUCAGCUUGGGUGUCCUGUUGAUCAAUGGGAGGUCAAAUGGUUUGGGAUUAGGGGCAUGUGCUGGGAACUCUUGUUUCCGUUGUUUCUAGACUAUGGCAGAAUGUUUCCUCGUCCUCAUGUUUUGAUAGUGCAUUUGGGGGGAAAUGAUUUAGGUAUGAUUCCUCAAAAAGAAUUAGUGAGAAGAAUCAAAAGGGAUCUGGGCAAUAUAAAGGAACUUUAUCCCGGAAUUAAAAUAAUCUGGUCACAGAUUACUCCUAGGCUGGUUUGGAGAUCAGCGAGGGAUUAUGAUAGGCUAGAAAAGAGCCGCAAGAAAAUUAUCAAAAUAGUUAGCUCUUUUGUUAAGAGGUUGGGGGGAGGUGUAGUUUUCCACCCAGAUUUCGAAGUAGAUGGGGCUGAGGAAUUUUACUUAAAAGAUGGUGUUCAUUUUAACCAAUUUGGGCUGCAGCUAUUUCUUUUUGAUAUAAAAGAAGCGUUGGGAAAAAUAUUGGGUUUGGCGGGACUGGGCUGUUCGGUCAGUCCAGUCGGUGGCGGGGGUGCUAGUUCCCAGACAAAUAUGGUAUGCAAUAUGGCCAAGUGAUUUGGAGGAUUUUAAGUAGUUGCCUCUCCAUGGGGUGAGUGGACAACUGGUUUUAUAUGGGCAAGGGGUUCCCUAUUAAAGUUUAGGUGUCCUUGGACGGACUCAACAGGGAUAUAGUUGAGUCCAGUUGUUGAAUAACGGCCAUCUUGUUUUGUGGGUUUGGGAACUAGCACCGCUGUGGGUAAUUGACAGUUUUAUUUGACAGUAAUGUUAUUUAUGAACAUCAGGUAUGUUCUGUGAAAAAAUGUUUGAAAAUGUUUGAAAAUAUUUAUUACUCAAUAUUUAACUUGUGAUGUUAAUAAAAUGGCUGCGGCCAAAUUUUAUACCAAA